GAUGAACGCUGGCGGCGUGCCUAAUACAUGCAAGUCGAGCGAACGGACGAGAAGCUUGCUUCUCUGAUGUUAGCGGCGGACGGGUGAGUAACACGUGGAUAACCUACCUAUAAGACUGGGAUAACUUCGGGAAACCGUAGCUAAUACCGGAUAAUAUUUUGAACCGCAUGGUUCAAAAGUGAAAGACGGUCUUGCUGUCACUUAUAGAUGGAUCCGCGCUGCAUUAGCUAGUUGGUAAGGUAACGGCUUACCAAGGCAACGAUGCAUAGCCGACCUGAGAGGGUGACAGCCCACACUGGAACUGAGACACGGUCCAGACUCCUACGGGAGGCAGCAGUAGCGAAUCUUCCGCAAUGGGCGAAAGCCUGACGGAGCAACGCCGGGUGAGUGAUGAAGGUCUUCGGAUCGUAAAACUCUGUUAUUAGGGAAGAACAUAUGUGUAAGUAACUGUGCACAUCUUGACGGUACCUAAUCAGAAAGCCACGGCUAACUACGUG
rnacentral:rRNA from 1 species